AURCCGAUGCUUAUUCUUACGGUACCAUCAGCUCCGGUUCACGACCGGAGGUUUUUUCCCGUACAAAAGCAGUUUACAACCCAUAGGGCUGUCAUCCUGCACGCGGCAUGGCUGGUUCAGACUUGCGUCCAUUGACCAAUAUUCCUUACUGCUGCCUCCCGUAGGAGUCUGGUCCGUGUCUCAGUACCAGUGUGGGGGUGAAUCCUCUCAGAACCCCUAGACAUCGUAGCCUUGGUGAGCCGUUACCUCACCAACUAGCUAAUGUCGCGCAUGCCCAUCUAAGACCGCCGGAGCUUUAAUUAUAAUGAGAUGCCUCAUCAUAAUUUUAUGGGGUAUUAAUCCCGAUUUCUCGGGGCUAUCUCCCAGUCAAAGGUAGGUUGCAUACGUGUUACGCACCCGUGCGCCACUCGUCAGCAUCCAUUGCUGGACCUGUUACCGUUCGACUUGCAUGUAUUAGGCCUGCCGCUAGCGUUAAUCCUGAGCCAGGAUCAAACUCUAAUCGAAUUCCCGCGGCCGCCAUGGCGGCCGGGAGCAUGCGACGUCGGGCCCAAUUCGCCCUAUAGUGAGUCGUA
rnacentral:rRNA from 1 species